CGGGUGAGUAAUGCGUGACCAACCUGCCCCAUGCUCCAGAAUAGCUCUUGGAAACGGGUGGUAAUGCUGGAUGCUCCAACUUGACGCAUGUCUUGUUGGGAAAGUGUUUAGUGGCAUGGGAUGGGGUCGCGUCCUAUCAGCUUGUAGGCGGGGUAAUGGCCCACCUAGGCUUCGACGGGUAGCCGGCCUGAGAGGGCGGACGGCCACAUUGGGACUGAGAUACGGCCCAGACUCUACGGGAGGCAGCAGNA
rnacentral:rRNA from 1 species